GGGUUAAUUGAGAAAUUAACAAAACAAAAACACAAACACGGUUGUGUUCGUGCGAACCAGGGGAGGAAGAAAGGGGAGCCAAAAACCCUAACUGCUAGAUAUCAAGAAAUUGAAGCCUAAAUCACAAGAAAAUUCGAUGCAUGGGUCCUCUUUUUCGAAAAUCUAACCCUAACUAAUGAAGUGGAACGUGUCAAGGAGAGCUCAAGCAUAGGAGGAUAACGGGUCAAGAUAAGGCAAGGUGACAAAUACACUUAUUGGAAUACUCAAGGUUAUGAAUGUCGGACUUUCGAAGUGUUGAUAUAAUAAUGAAACGGUUGAAUGUUGAAAGGAUAAUCGGAUUGAAGUAACUUAUGCGGUAAUUCCUCAAUUUUGGCGACUUGGAGAAUCGGAGCGAGCGCGUGUUCGUGUUAUGCGAUACCAAACGCUUCCGCUAGCUUGUUCAAAUGUUUUUGAUCCAAAAUUUGUUGUAUUGGUAUUUAGUAGUAUCUUGUUGAACGAAUUGUAGAAUUGUAUCUAGUUUGUUUAUGUUUUAAACAGGGGUAUGCUCGUUUUAUGGACGGGUCAUGCCCGAUUUUUUUGUUAAAUUAUAGUUUGAUAAUAUCACAUUUAGGAAGGUGAAAUUUUGG
rnacentral:lncRNA from 1 species